UACGAAGGGGGCUAGCGUUGCUCGGAAUCACUGGGCGUAAAGGGUGCGUAGGCGGGUCUUUAAGUCAGGGGUGAAAUCCUGGAGCUCAACUCCAGAACUGCCUUUGAUACUGAAGAUCUUGAGACCGGAAGAGGUUAGUGGAACUGCGAGUGUAGAGGUGAAAUUCGUAGAUAUUCGCAAGAACACCAGUGGCGAAGGCGGCUAACUGGUCCGGUUCUGACGCUGAGGCGCGAAAGCGUGGGGAGCAAACAGG
rnacentral:rRNA from 1 species